rnacentral:rRNA from 1 species
ACUUCGAAGAGGCAAAGAAUCGAUGGCUUAUUGGUGGCAGCAAGGACGGUGGUUGCUCGCUCGUCCGCUCGUCGCCACCACCAAAAUGGCCAUUUUUGCCCGUUUUAGCCGUUACUAAUUUUUGGGGCUUUCGUGAUGCCGCCAUGAACACGUGAGUGGAUCGAACGUCACCAUUCAAGACUGAACCCCGCCCGCAUAUAUCGGAUAGUAUCAUAUAGCAGGACGGUGGUUUCACUUUUCGUCAUCGCCCGUCAUUAUUCCGGCAACAAAAUGGUUAGUUUUACGCUUUGGAGUAGUUCUUGCAUGCUCGCUACGAACGACGUGAGCGGAGUAAAACGCCAACCAUCAUCAAUACCUCGAACCCCGGGUGACAUGUAUCGGAUGGGGCAUUCAGAUAGUAGGGCCGGUGCUAUCUCUCUUUAUUUCGGCGGUCCGCCGCCGCCUUCGCCGCUUCCGCCAAAAUAGCCGCUUUUUGGCGGUUCUUGUGUGUCGGUGAACGACGUGGAUGGACAAAACUUCAGCCAUCUCAAGACCGAACCCCCCGGGUGGCACUGUGGUCGAUGGGCAUUCGGGCGAAGUCGGCCGGAGCGAAACCCGGAAGGCACAAGGAAGUUAACGGCCGAACCCUCUCGAGGGUUACACCACCCGGGAUUCCCGAUCCGUGAAGGGUUUAGUUGGAGGAUACAUGCCGGGACCCGAAAAGAUGGUGAACUAUCGCUGAGAAAGCCCGAGGAAACUCGUGGUGAGGCCCGGCGAUCUUGGACGCGGCAAAUCGAUUCGGGUCGACUUGGGUAUAGGGCGAAGACUAAUGAACCAUCUAGUAGUCGGUUCCCUUUGAAGUUUUCCUCGGGAUAGUUGGAGCCCACGGCGAAUUCUAUCUGUAAAGCCAAUGAUUAGAGGCAUCGGGGGCUUAAUGCCCUGAAACCUAUUCUCAAACUUUAAAAGGUAGGAUGGCGACUACUCGCCGUUGAGCAGCGUCCGAAUCGAGAGCUCAAGUGGGCGGGCCAUUUUUGGUAAGCGAACUAGCGUCGCGGGAUGAACGGAAGCCAUGUUCGGUGCCCAAAGCUAAAUAACUUAAACACCACAAAGGGUGUUGGUCGAUUAAAAUUAGGAUGGUGGUCAUGGAAGUGAGGAAAUCCGCUAAGGGGUGUGUAACAACUCACCGCCGAAUCAACUAGCCCGAAAAUGGAUGGCGCUGCAAGCACCAAAUUCAUCUUAGCCAUCGGGGCAAAGCCCCGAUGAGUAGGAGGCUGACGAUCGUCAUAAAAACCAGUGAGCCCGGUGGGAGACGUCGGUCGCAGAUCUUGGUGGUAGUAGCGAAUAUUCAAAUGAGAACUUUGAAGGCGAAGAGGGGAAAGGUUCCAUGAACGACACUUGCCACAUAGGUUAGCCGAUCCGGGGAUGGGGAAACCCCGUCCGAGAGCGUGUCUCGAAUGUGAGCUCUGAAACGAAUCGGGUUAAAAUUCGGACGGCGACGGCGGACGACAAUGUUAGGAAGUCCGGAGGCGCGGCGAGGACCGGAAGAGUUAUCUUUUCUGCUUAACGGCACGCCCACCGGAAACGGCUCGGUGGGAGGUAGGGUCCAGCGGUCGGGAAGAGCGCCCGCCACCUUACGUCCAGCACCGGCCCCAGCGGCCCUUUGAAAAUCCGGAGGACGAGCCACCCGCGCGGUAAUAAUCAUAACAUCAGGUCUCCAAGGUGAAUAGCCUCGGCCCAUGGAGCAAUGUAGGCAAAGGAAGUCCGCAAAACGGAUCCGUAACUUUGGGAAAAGGAUUGGCUCGAGGGUGGUAACGGGGUCCAGCUCCCCCAACUUCGUUAAUUUGUCGGUAGGACUGAAAGUUGCUCGCGGGUGAGAUGGGUCACCUGCGUGCCGGGGGGACGGAUAGGGAACGGCCCCUCGGGGGCCUUCGGGCAUCGAACAACCGGGCUUCAACGGUACGAACAAGGGGAAUCCAUUGUUUAAUUAAAACAAAGCAUUGCGAUGGUCCCUUGAAUGCUGCCUGCGAAUGUGAUUUCUGCCCGAUUUCUAAAUGUCAAAGUGAAGAAAUUCAACCAAGGCUGGUAACGGCGGAGUAAUAUAUGACUCUCUUAAAAGGUUGCCAAAAUGUCUCGUCAUCUAAUUAGUGGACGCGCAUGAAUGGAUUAAUGAGAUUCCCAACGUGUCCGCUCUCACUAUCGUGAAACCCACAACCAAGGGAAUGGGCUUAGCGAGAAUGUGAGGGAAAGAAGACCCUGUUGAGCUUGACUCUAGUCCGACUUUGUGAAAUGACUUGAGAGGUGUAGGAUAAGUGGAGGCGAUUCGCCGAAGUGAAAUACCACUACUUUUAACGUUAUUUUACUUAUUCCGUGAGUUCGAAUGGGCCGGCCCUCCUUUUGGACCCAAGGCCCGAAGCGGGCCGAUCCGGCGGAAGACAUUGUCGGUGGGGAGUUUGGUCAGGCGGCACAUCAUAAAAGAUAGCGCAGGUGUCCUAAGAUGAGAUCAGCGAGGUAAAUCUGCAGGAACAAAAGGUAAAGCUCGUUUUGAUUCGAUUUCUAGAAAUGGAAUACGAACCAUGAAAGUGUGGCCUAUCAAUCCUUUAGACCUUCGGAAUUUGAAGCUAGAGGUGUCCCGGAAAAGUUACCACGAGGAUAAGCGGUUUUGUGGCGUAGCGUUCAUAGC